rnacentral:lncRNA from 1 species
UUUUUAUAGAAUUUGUUUAUUAUGAGCAAAGUGAACAGUAGUAGGUGAGAGAGCAAACGGUCGGCUUAAAAAACUACUCCAACUGUAGCGUAUAGUAUAAUCACAUGAAUAUGGAAAUGUUAAUAUAAAAGCAAUCUUGUCUCCAUCAACACUAAUGAAGAGAAAGAAAUUUAGCCUUUCCAUUCUACAUGUUGACACGUAGUCGUAACAUUAUUAGAAAAAUAGGAAACUAUUGGCUGUGUGUCUGUCGGUCAGGGUCCCACUAGUCUCACCUCUGUAAACAAAAGAAGACUAUUCCUUUAAUAUACCAUUACCACCUCUCUAUCCCUCGCAGCUGGCUACAAAGUAUGCACCCCCACUCUUUCUUAUACUUGAUACCUUAUUAUAUUAUAUUAUUAGAUUUGGCUAGGGUUAGGAAUUCCAGUCGACCAAGAAAGAAAGAGUUUUGAGUUCGUGUCUGAUUCGAUUCAAAUUUAACCGAGUUGGUUUGUUUAGCUAAUCGUGUCUAAAAUCUCUAUCUGAACUCAACUCGUUUAAUUUCAUGAUUCGAGUCGAGUCGCAUCGUUUAAGCUAAAUGAGUCGGUUUUAACAAACCUAGCGAGCCAACUCGUAAUUUUACAUUUAAUCGAGUCUAAACCUCUACAUGAACUCGAUUAUUAAUUUCAAAAUUCAAAUUGAGCCGGCUUGUUU